AUGUUUCUUCUACUCUUUGUCAACUAUAAUGCCCACAUUAUUUUUCGAUCUAACUUUAUCCAUAUAUCAAAGUUUAAUGCUCUAACUGUUUAAUUUUGUUUCCCUUUCAUCCACCCAGUUACUUUCUAGUAGACACAUCAAAUCAGUCAUUCUCCUAAUCAAAGCGUCUACUAUCUUCAUAGAUUUUUCUGUAAGAGCGCUUAUAUUCUUUAUACUCUUGUGAACUAACUUCUUUCCCACAUGAAAUUCCUUGGAAGAUGAGAGCCAGAUGGCUCAAUUGCAUGAAGUUUUGCUCUAGUAUUGACUGCUCAUGCUU
rnacentral:lncRNA from 1 species